GGGGAUGUAGCUCAGUGGUAGAGUGCAUGCUUUGCAUGUAUGAAGCCCUGGGUUCAGUCCCCGGCAUCUCCA